CUCAAAAAUAAAAAUUUGUCGCCGUUGAAAAUUUUUUCUUUUGACAACGACGUUGAUAAAAUUUAAAAAAUAAUGCCGGCUUUGUUGUUUAUUUGAAAUUCAAACAUUUUUCAAUUUCUUUAGAUUUGAAUAGGACCUAUAAUUUUCGAUCUUUUAUUGUGGUUUAAAAAGAAUCGUUAUCCGGGGAUAAAAAUACUAUAUUACAACAAGCAUUGGAUAGAAGACAAUAAAAACUAUGGAAAACAUUUGAAAUUGUCACUAACAUCGCUAUUUGAGGAAUUUCAUAUCGAAAGGGAAAAUGUUCAAAAAGGGGAACAAUUGUGAAAUUGAAUUAAAAUAUAAUAAAAAAAAUUUUUAGUCGCGGCAAAGUCUACAACAAGCAUUGGAUAGAAGACAAAAAAAUUAUGGAAAACAUUUCAAACUGUCACUAACAUCGCCGUUUGAAGAACGUCAUAUCGAAAGGAAAAAAGAAAAAAUAAAUUUGAAAAUUUUCAAAAAGAGGAACAAUUGUGAAAUCGAAUUAAAAUAUAUUCCAAACAAUUUUUAGCCGCGGUAAAGUUUUUGAACAUUUUUAAUGGUUCAGAGCAAAUCCAGAUCAGAAAAAAAUAUUCAACCAAUAUUGGUGGUUAUUUUCAAAUUGACAAGAAAGUUUAUGUUGCAUAAAGGCUGAAAUAGGUGAAGAGUGCAAAAAAUUACCUUGUUAUUACGAAAUGUGCAUGGAAGGAUACCGAUGCUGUUAAACCAAGCUAGUCAAUCGAUCUUAUGCUUUUAUACGGAAUUGCAGCUCAACUUUACUAAGAGAUGUUAAUCAUUAGCGAUUUUCAUAAGGAAUUGGAAUUCUCAAAAUAUCUCAAAUUUCUCCAAGCUUGACUAAAAGAUACCGAAUGUAUCAUGCGUUCAAAAUCCAUAUAAAUACAACUGGUUUAAAAUUUGA